rfam:Ciona savignyi cont_8563, whole genome shotgun sequence.
UUCAAAUGAUGAUUUAUAAGGCGAAUAAGAACUCUGGAUUCCCGCUUUGCGACAUUUGUGCCAAUGUCUUGUUUUCUUGAUAUGCGACUCAGUUCAUCCGAACUACUCCGUAGUCGUGUAUUGUAAUCCCAAGGCUGCAGCAACCCUUUCACUAAAGACUCCAGAAAUACCAAAGUCCUCGUAUUUUCUGAUUGAUUUGAAAGGAACAGUACUUUCUAUUCUCUAUAACCUUUUCGGCACUGUCGCUUUUUGCGGCCCAGAGUAAAUGAUUUAGAUCUUUAGUAAUCUGAUGAAC